rnacentral:rRNA from 1 species
UUGUUGGUAAGGUAAAAGCUUACCAAGGCUUCGAUCAGUAGCUGGUCUGAGAGGACGACCAGCCACACUGGGACUGAGACACGGCCCAGACUCCUACGGGAGGCAGCAGUGGGGAAUUUUGGACAAUGGGGGCAACCCUGAUCCAGCCAUGCCGCGUGAGUGAAGAAGGCRUUCGUUGUAAAGCUCUUUCAGCCGGAACGAAACGGUUACGGAUAACACCCGUGACUACUGACGGUACCGGAAGAAGAAGCACCGGCUAACUACGUGCCAGCAGCCGCGGUAAUACGUAGGGUGCGAGCGUUAAUCGGAAUUACUGGGCGUAAAGCGUGCGCAGGUGGUUUUGUAAGUCAGAUGUGAAAGCCCCGGGCUCAACCUGGGAACUGCGUUUGAAACUACAAGACUAGAGUGUGGCAGAGGGGGGUGGAAUUCCGCGUGUAGCAGUGAAAUGCGUAGAGAUGUGGAGGAACACCGAUGGCGAAGGCAGCCCCCUGGGUCAACACUGACGCUCAGGCACGAAAGCAUGGGGAGCAAACAGGAUUAGAUACCCUGGUAGUCCAUGCCCUAAACGAUGUCAACUAGUUGUCGGGCCUUUACGGGCUUGGUAACGUAGCUAACGCGUGAAGUUGACCGCCUGGGGAGUACGAUCGCAAGAUUAAAACUCAAAUGAAUUGACGGGGACCCGCACAAGCGGUGGAUUAUGUGGAUUAAUUCGAUGCAACGCGAAAAACCUUACCUACCCUUGACAUGUAUCGAAGCCCGCAGAAAAGCGGGGGUGCCCGGAAGGGAACGAUAACACAGGUGCUGCAUGGCUGUCGUCAGCUCGUGUCGUGAGAUGUUGGGUUAAGUCCCGCAACGAGCGCAACCCUUGUCAUUAAUUGCCAUCAUUUAGUUGGGCACUUUAAUGAGACUGCCGG